GCCGCUGACAACGGCGGACUUAUGCGGAAAACCAACCGCGUAGACCUAGAACGUCAAACUUAAGGAGAAAAAAAUG
rnacentral:ncRNA from 1 species